rnacentral:rRNA from 1 species
UGCGCAGCUACCAUGCAGUCGAGCGGAUGAGAGGGGCUUGGCUCCUCGAUUCAGCGGCGGACGGGUGAGUAAUGCCUAGGAAUCUGCCUAGUAGUGGGGGACAACGUUUCGAAAGGAACGCUAAUACCGCAUACGUCCUACGGGAGAAAGUGGGGGAUCUUCGGACCUCACGCUAUAAGACGAGCCCAAGCCCAAUGACCAAGGAGGCGAAAAGGCCACCAAGGCGACAACACGUAACAGCUCACAGACGAAGAUCAGACACACAAGAAAUCAGACACGGAACAGAAACCUACGGGAGCCACCACUGAGGAAAUGGGAAAAGGCACGAAAGCCUGAUCCAGCCAUGCCGCGCGUGUGAAGAAGCCCCUCGGGUCGUAAAGCACUUUAAGUUGGAAGGAAGAGCUCAUAGCGAAUAACUGUGAGUUUGAACGACACAAACAGAACAAGCACCGGCUAACUCCACGCCAGCAGCAGCGCGAAUACGAAGGGCACAAGCGCGAAUCGAAAUUACUGGGCGUAAAGCGCGCGUAGGUGGCUUGAGAAAGUGGAUGUGAAAUCCCCGGGCUCAACCUGGGAACUGCAUCCAAAACUGUCUGGCUAGAGUGCGGUAGAGGGUAGUGGAAUUUCCAGUGUAGCGGUGAAAUGCGUAGAUAUUGGAAGGAACACCAGUGCCAAAGGCGACUACCUGGACUGACACUGACACUGAGGUGCGAAAGCGUGGGGAGCAAACAGGAUUAGAUACCCUGGUAGUCAACCCCGAAACGAUGUCAACUAGCCGUUGGGAUCCUUGAGAUCUUAGUGGCGCAGCUAACGCAUUAAAGUGACCGCCUGGGGAGUACGGCCGCAAGGUUAAAACUAAAAUCAAUGAACACGGGCCCGCACAAGCGGUGGAGCAUGUGGUAUCGAACACGAAACAACACGAAGAAACUUACCGAGACUUCAGAGAUGACAUGCUCAGAACAGACAAAGAUGCAUGGCUGCCUCAGGGAACCCAAACACAGGAAGUCCGCACGACCACCGUCAGAGCACGACGUAAGACCUAGAUCAACUCCAGAAAGAGCGCAACCACCAAUCCUAAGCACCACCACGACGGCAGGCACACUAAGGAAACGCCGGUGACAAACCGGAGGAAGGUGGGGAUGACGUCAAGUCAUCAUGGCCCUUACGGCCAGGGCUACACACGUGCUACAAUGGUCGGUACAAAGGGUUGCCAAGCCGCGAGGUGGAGCUAAUCCCAUAAAACCGAUCGUAGUCCGGAUCGCAGUCUGCAACUCGACUGCGUGAAGUCGGAAUCGCUAGUAAUCGUGAAUCAGAACGUCACGGUGAAUACGUUCCCGGGCCUUGUACACACCGCCCGUCACACCAUGGGAGUGGGUUGCUCCAGAAGUAGCUAGUCUAACCUUCGGGAGGACGGUACCAUCGGAGGAUCUC